UAUGCCAUAGAUGGCUGAGACCUGCUGCUGAUUGGAUUCCUGAAUUUCUGGUCCCAUUUGUCUCCUCCAGCACAAGCUGGGCCACUGGACCAAUUGCCCCCAGAAUUACUCCUCCGAACAGACACAUCAACCUCACUAUGGAGACUCAUUACAGUGAUUUUAGGAAGUUUCUGCCUUGUGCUCCUGGCAACAACAUGUGUCUUGACUACUCAGGUGCUCCAAGGAGCUUCUUCAAACAUCACCACCAACCAGACAGGACAUCACUGCAGUCCUUGUCCAGAGAACUGGAUCUUAUGUAGAAACAAUGCUACCUCUUUUCUAAAGAAAAAAGAAUGUGGAAUGAAAGUCAGCUAUCUGUCGAUCUCAUAAUUCCGGUCUCCUGAAGAUAGAGAACAAGGGAGAACUGGAUGUCUUGUUCUCAUUCAAAAUUAAUGGAUGGACCGGACUCUCCCGCAGUGGAAGAAAUCAACCUUGGAAGUGGUCCGAUGGCUCAGAUCUCUCCAAAGACCUGUAAGUUUGGGUUUCAGUAGGAUCUUCCUGCCCCAUGGAUUUGUUCCCAAACACUAUAAAGCCUCUCCAAAUGUGACCUAAUAGGGGAGGUGGCACGUGGCAGACCAGUUCCAGUUUAGAAGUUUGACUUUCUGAAGGGUGUUUUUAAAAUGUAGUUUAACUGCAGUGAAUCUCUCAACAUGAAAACCAAUUCAGCCUCACUGAGUUUCUGCUUUGUCCAGCCACAGGAAUCUUAGCUGUUUGAGGCUAGGAUCGGGUGUGUUCUCAGCGG
rnacentral:lncRNA from 1 species